rnacentral:rRNA from 1 species
AUAACAAUACAGGGCUCUUUAGAGGCCCUGUAAUUGUAAUGAGCCCACUUGAAAUCCUUUAACUAGGAUCAAUUGGAGGGCAAGUCUGGUGCAGAGCGACUGACCUGUAUGUGCUGCAGCUGAAACUCCAU